UACGUAGGUGGCGAGCGUUGUCCGGAUUUACUGGGCGUAAAGAGCGCGCAGGCGGUCGUACAAGUCGCGUGUGAAAGCCCCCGGCUCAACUGGGGAGGGUCACGCGAUACUGUUCGACUCGAAGGCAGGAGAGGGAAGCGGAAUUCCCGGUGUAGUGGUGAAAUGCGUAGAUAUCGGGAGGAACACCAGUGGCGAAGGCGGCUUCCUGGCCUGUUCUUGACGCUGAGGCGCGAAAGCUAGGGUAGCAGACGGG
rnacentral:rRNA from 1 species